rnacentral:rRNA from 1 species
AAUGAACGCUGGCGGCAGGCCUAACACAUGCAAGUCGAACGAGUGGCGGACGGGUGAGUAAUGUCUGGGAAACUGCCUGAUGGAGGGGGAUAACUACUGGAAACGGUAGCUAAUACCGCAUACCAUCAGAUGUGCCCAGAUGGGAUUAGCUAUUGGGUGGGGUAACGGCUCACCUAGGCGACGAUCCCUAGCUGGUCUGAGAGGAUGACCAGCACCGCUGGAAAGGAGACACGGUCCGGACUCCUACGGGUGGCAGCAGUGGGGAUUAUUGCACAAUGUGCGCAAGCCUGAUGCAGCCAUGCCGCGUGUAUGAAGAAGGCCUUCGGGUUGUAAAGUACUGUCAGCGGAGAGGCGUUACCAGCAGAAGAAGCACCGGCUAACUCCGUGCCAGCCGCCGCGGUAAUAC